UCGGGAAUUUUGGGCAAUGGGCGAAAGCCUGACCCAGCAACGCCGCGUGAGGGAUGAAGUAUUUCGGUAUGUAAACCUCGAAAGAAUGGGAAGAAUAAAUGACGGUACCAUUUAUAAGCUCCGGCUAAUUACGUGCCAGCAGCCGCGGUAAUACGUAGGGAGCAAGCGUUGUUCGGAUUUACUGGGCGUAAAGGGCGCGUAGGCGGCGCGGUAAGUCACUUGUGGAAUCUCUGAGCUUAACUCAGAACGGCCAAGUGAUACUGCUGUGCUAGAGUGCGGAAGAGGAAACCGGAAUUCUUGGUGUAGCGGUGAAAUGCGUAGAUAUCAAGAGGAACACCUGAGGCGAAGGCGGGUUGCUGGGCCGACACUGACGCUGAUGCGCGAAAGCCAGGGGAGCAAACG
rnacentral:rRNA from 1 species